GUGGAAGCGUCUGGAAAGGCGCGCGAUACAGGGUGACAGCCCCGUACACAAAAAUGCACAUGCUGUGAGCUCGAUGAGUAGGGCGGGACACGUGGUAUCCUGUCUGAAUAUGGGGGGACCAUCCUCCAAGGCUAAAUACUCCUGACUGACCGAUAGUGAACCAGUACCGUGAGGGAAAGGCGAAAAGAACCCCGGCGAGGGGAGUGAAAAAGAACCUGAAACCGUGUACGUACAAGCAGUGGGAGCACGCUUCGGCGUGUGACUGCGUACCUUUUGUAUAAUGGGUCAGCGACUUAUAUUCUGUAGCAAGGUUAACCGAAUAGGGGAGCCGAAGGGAAACCGAGUCUUAACUGGGCGUUAAGUUGCAGGGUAUAGACCCGAAACCCGGUGAUCUAGCCAUGGGCAGGUUGAAGGUUGGGUAACACUAACUGGAGGACCGAACCGACUAAUGUUGAAAAAUUAGCGGAUGACUUGUGGCUGGGGGUGAAAGGCCAAUCAAACCGGGAGAUAGCUGGUUCUCCCCGAAAGCUAUUUAGGUAGCGCCUCGUGAAUUCAUCUCCGGGGGUAGAGCACUGUUUCGGCAAGGGGGUCAUCCCGACUUACCAACCCGAUGCAAACUGCGAAUACCGGAGAAUGUUAUCACGGGAGACACACGGCGGGUGCUAACGUCCGUCGUGAAGAGGGAAACAACCCAGACCGCCAGCUAAGGUCCCAAAGUCAUGGUUAAGUGGGAAACGAUGUGGGAAGGCCCAGACAGCCAGGAUGUUGGCUUAGAAGCAGCCAUCAUUUAAAGAAAGCGUAAUAGCUCACUGGUCGAGUCGGCCUGCGCGGAAGAUGUAACGGGGCUAAACCAUGCACCGAAGCUGCGGCAGCGACACUAUGUGUUGUUGGGUAGGGGAGCGUUCUGUAAGCCUGUGAAGGUGUACUGUGAGGUAUGCUGGAGGUAUCAGAAGUGCGAAUGCUGACAUAAGUAACGAUAAAGCGGGUGAAAAGCCCGCUCGCCGGAAGACCAAGGGUUCCUGUCCAACGUUAAUCGGGGCAGGGUGAGUCGACCCCUAAGGCGAGGCCGAAAGGCGUAGUCGAUGGGAAACAGGUUAAUAUUCCUGUACUUGGUGUUACUGCGAAGGGGGGACGGAGAAGGCUAUGUUGGCCGGGCGACGGUUGUCCCGGUUUAAGCGUGUAGGCUGGUUUUCCAGGCAAAUCCGGAAAACUAAGGCUGAGGCGUGAUGACGAGGCACUACGGUGCUGAAGCAACAAAUGCCCUGCUUCCAGGAAAAGCCUCUAAGCAUCAGGUAACAUCAAAUCGUACCCCAAACCGACACAGGUGGUCAGGUAGAGAAUACCAAGGCGCUUGAGAGAACUCGGGUGAAGGAACUAGGCAAAAUGGUGCCGUAACUUCGGGAGAAGGCACGCUGAUAUGUAGGUGAAGCGACUUGCUCGUGGAGCUGAAAUCAGUCGAAGAUACCAGCUGGCUGCAACUGUUUAUUAAAAACACAGCACUGUGCAAACACGAAAGUGGACGUAUACGGUGUGACGCCUGCCCGGUGCCGGAAGGUUAAUUGAUGGGGUUAGCGGUAACGCGAAGCUCUUGAUCGAAGCCCCGGUAAACGGCGGCCGUAACUAUAACGGUCCUAAGGUAGCGAAAUUCCUUGUCGGGUAAGUUCCGACCUGCACGAAUGGCGUAAUGAUGGCCAGGCUGUCUCCACCCGAGACUCAGUGAAAUUGAACUCGCUGUGAAGAUGCAGUGUACCCGCGGCAAGACGGAAAGACCCCGUGAACCUUUACUAUAGCUUGACACUGAACAUUGAGCCUUGAUGUGUAGGAUAGGUGGGAGGCUUUGAAGUGUGGACGCCAGUCUGCAUGGAGCCGACCUUGAAAUACCACCCUUUAAUGUUUGAUGUUCUAACGUUGACCCGUGAUCCGGGUUGCGGACAGUGUCUGGUGGGUAGUUUGACUGGGGCGGUCUCCUCCUAAAGAGUAACGGAGGAGCACGAAGGUUGGCUAAUCCUGGUCGGACAUCAGGAGGUUAGUGCAAUGGCAUAAGCCAGCUUGACUGCGAGCGUGACGGCGCGAGCAGGUGCGAAAGCAGGUCAUAGUGAUCCGGUGGUUCUGAAUGGAAGGGCCAUCGCUCAACGGAUAAAAGGUACUCCGGGGAUAACAGGCUGAUACCGCCCAAGAGUUCAUAUCGACGGCGGUGUUUGGCACCUCGAUGUCGGCUCAUCACAUCCUGGGGCUGAAGUAGGUCCCAAGGGUAUGGCUGUUCGCCAUUUAAAGUGGUACGCGAGCUGGGUUUAGAACGUCGUGAGACAGUUCGGUCCCUAUCUGCCGUGGGCGCUGGAGAACUGAGGGGGGCUGCUCCUAGUACGAGAGGACCGGAGUGGACGCAUCACUGGUGUUCGGGUUGUCAUGCCAAUGGCACUGCCCGGUAGCUAAAUGCGGAAGAGAUAAGUGCUGAAAGCAUCUAAGCACGAAACUUGCCCCGAGAUGAGUUCUCCCUGACUCCUUGAGAGUCCUGAAGGAACGUUGAAGACGACGACGUUGAUAGGCCGGGUGUGUAAGCGCAGCGAUGCGUUGAGCUAACCGGUACUAAUGAACCGUGAGGCUUAACCUU
rnacentral:rRNA from 1 species